UACAGAGGUCCCAAGCGUUGUCCGGAAUCAUUGGGCGUAAAGCGCGCGUAGGUGGCCUCGUAAGUCCGCUGUGAAAGUCAAAGGCUCAACCUUUGAAAGCCGGUGGAUACCGUGGGGCUAGAGUACGGAAGAGGCGAGUGGAAUUCCUGGUGUAGCGGUGGAAUGCGCAGAUAUCAGGAGGAACACCAAUAGCGAAGGCAGCUCGCUGGGACGUUACUGACACUGAGGCGCGAAAGCGUGGGGAGCGAACAGG
rnacentral:rRNA from 1 species